rnacentral:rRNA from 1 species
UGGGCAUGCGGCGCAUUAGGUAGUUGGUAGGGUAACGGCCUACCAAGCCGACGAUGCGUAGGGGUUCUGAGAGGAAGGUCCCCCACAUUGGAACUGAGACACGGUCCAAACUCCUACGGGAGGCAGCAGUGAGGAAUAUUGGUCAAUGGCCGGAAGGCUGAACCAGCCAAGUCGCGUGAGGGAAUAAGGCCCUAUGGGUCGUAAACCUCUUUUGUCAGGGAGCAAAGGCGUCCACGUGUGGACGAGAGGAGAGUACCUGAAGAAAAAGCAUCGGCUAACUCCGUGCCAGCAGCCGCGGUAAUACGGAGGAUGCGAGCGUUAUCCGGAUUUAUUGGGUUUAAAGGGUGCGUAGGCGGAGUGUCAAGUCAGCGGUAAAAUUUCGGGGCUCAACCCCGUCGUGCCGUUGAAACUGACACCCUUGAGUGAGUGAGAAGUAAGCGGAAUGCGUGGUGUAGCGGUGAAAUGCAUAGAUAUCACGCAGAACGCCGAUUGCGAAGGCAGCUUACCGGCGCUCAACUGACGCUGAGGCACGAAAGUGCGGGUAUCGAACAGGAUUAGAUACCCUGGUAGUCCGCACAGUAAACGAUGAAAGCUAGAUGUCCGGGGCGAAUGAGCUUUGG